AGAGUUUGAUCCUGGCUCAGGAUGAACGCUAGCUACAGGCUUAACACAUGCAAGUCGAGGGGCAUCAGUUUGGUUUGCUUGCAAACCAAAGCUGGCGACCGGCGCACGGGUGAGUAACACGUAUCCAACCUGCCUCAUACUCGGGGAUAGCCUUUCGAAAGAAAGAUUAAUAUCCGAUAGCAUAUAUUUCCCGCAUGGGUUUUAUAUUAAAGAAAUUCGGUAUGAGAUGGGGAUGCGUUCCAUUAGUUUGUUGGCGGGGUAACGGCCCACCAAGACUACGAUGGAUAGGGGUUCUGAGAGGAAGGUCCCCCACAUUGGAACUGAGACACGGUCCAAACUCCUACGGGAGGCAGCAGUGAGGAAUAUUGGUCAAUGGACGAGAGUCUGAACCAGCCAAGUAGCGUGAAGGAUGACUGCCCUAUGGGUUGUAAACUUCUUUUAUAUGGGAAUAAAGUGGUCCACGUGUGGAUUUUUGUAUGUACCAUAUGAAUAAGGAUCGGCUAACUCCGUGCCAGCAGCCGCGGUAAUACGGAGGAUCCGAGCGUUAUCCGGAUUUAUUGGGUUUAAAGGGAGCGUAGGCGGAUUGUUAAGUCAGUUGUGAAAGUUUGCGGCUCAACCGUAAAAUUGCAGUUGAUACUGGCAGUCUUGAGUGCAGUAGAGGUGGGCGGAAUUCGUGGUGUAGCGGUGAAAUGCUUAGAUAUCACGAAGAACUCCGAUUGCGAAGGCAGCUUGCUGGACUGUAACUGACGCUGAUGCUCGAAAGUGUGGGUAUCAAACAGGAUUAGAUACCCUGGUAGUCCACACAGUAAACGAUGAAUACUCGCUGUUUGCGAUAUACAGUAAGCGGCCAAGCGAAAGCAUUAAGUAUUCCACCUGGGGAGUACGCCGGCAACGGUGAAACUCAAAGGAAU
rnacentral:rRNA from 1 species